UUUGUGGAGAGUUUGAUCCUGGCUCAGGACGAACGCUGGCGGCGUGCUUAACACAUGCAAGUCGAACGGAAAGGCCCAGCUUGCUGGGUGCUCGAGUGGCGAACGGGUGAGUAACACGUGGGUGAUCUGCCCCUAACUUCGGGAUAAGCUUGGGAAACUGGGUCUAAUACCGGAUAGGACAAUCGUUUAGUGUCGG
rnacentral:rRNA from 1 species